UACAGGGGGGGCAAGUGUUGUUCGGAAUUACUGGGCGUAAAGGGUCUGUAGGUGGCCAACUAAGUCAGACGUGAAAUCCCUCAGCUUAACUGGGGAACUGCGUCUGAUACUGGAUGGCUUGAGUGGGGAAGAGGGUCGUGGAAUUCCCAGUGUAGAGGUGAAAUUCGUAGAUAUUGGGAAGAACACCGGUGGCGAAGGCGGCAACCUGGUCCUUUACUGACGCUGAGGCGCGAAAGCGUGGGGAGCAAACAGG
rnacentral:rRNA from 1 species